GAGCCCACUUUCGCAGCACAUAUAUUAAAAUUGGAAUUAUACAGAGAAAAUUAGCAUGGCCUCUGCACAAGAAUGACACACAAAUUCAUGAAGUGUUCCACUUUUUU